AGAAGUUUAGGUUAAAUAGACCAAGAGCCUUCAAAGCCCUAAGCAAGUGAACCACACUUAACUUCUG
rnacentral:tRNA from 1 species